UACGUAGGGGGCUAGCGUUAUCCGGAAUUACUGGGCGUAAAGGGUGCGUAGGUGGUUUCUUAAGUCAGAGGUGAAAGACUACGGCUCAACCGUAGUAAGCCUUUGAAACUGGGAAACUUGAGUGCAGGAGAGGAGAGUGGAAUUCCUAGUGUAGCGGUGAAAUGCGUAGAUAUUAGGAGGAACACCAGUUGCGAAGGCGGCUCUCUGGACUGUAACUGACACUGAGGCACGAAAGCGUGGGGAGCAAACAGG
rnacentral:rRNA from 1 species